UACGGCGGGUGCGAGCGUUGUCCGGAAUCACUGGGCGUAAAGGGCGCGUAGGCGGCCUGAUAAGUAGGGGGUGAAAUCCUGCGGCUUAACCGCAGGGCUGCCUUCUAAACUGUCAGGCUCGAGCACAGUAGAGGCAGGUGGAAUUCCCGGUGUAGCGGUGGAAUGCGUAGAGAUCGGGAAGAACAUCAGUGGCGAAGGCGGCCUGCUGGGCUGUUGCUGACGCUGAGGCGCGACAGCGUGGGGAGCAAACAGG
rnacentral:rRNA from 1 species